rnacentral:ncRNA from 1 species
GAGUAGAAAUGGCGCGUUAAGUACCGGUUGGAUGGGAGGUUGCCGCCGGGCGAAGGAGCAGUCCGCGAUGCCAUUUUCGCAUCCGCU